UCCCGAUGAGGAAGAAUUCCCAAGAGAUAGGAAGUGCCGUAUGACACUUUAAUCAGCAGCGGCAGC